AGUUACGGCGGGUUUUGCAAGCGCCGGCGAGAGAGGUGGAGAGCGCAGAGAAAGCAGUCGCGCUAGCUGUCGGCGCCCUCCACUCUCUCGCCGCGGCUGACAAAUACGCU
ensembl:miRNA mir-4935 ncRNA